ACGCUGGCGGCACGCCUUAUACAUGCAAGUCGAACGAAGUAGCAAUACUUAGUGGCAGACGGGUGAGUAACAUGUGGGUAUCUUCCCUUUGGUGAGGAAUAACACGAGGAAACUUGUGCUAAUACCUCAUAAGUCUUUACAGAGAAAGCUUUAUGCGCCAAUGGAUGAGCCCGCACUUGAUUAGUUUGUUGGCAGGGUAAUGGCCUACCAAGACUUUGAUCAAUAGCUGAUCUGAGAGGAUGAUCAGCCACAUUGGGACUGAGACACGGCCCAAACUCCUACGGGAGGCAGCAGUAGGGAAUAUUGCACAAUGGAGGAAACUCUGAUGCAGCGAUGCCGCGUGAGUGAAGAAGGCCCUUGGGUUGUAAAGCUCUUUCGUCGGGGAAGAAAAUGACUGUACCCGAAUAAGAAGGUCCGGCUAACUUCGUGCCAGCAGCCGCGGUAAUACGAAGGGACCUAGCGUAGUUCGGAAUUACUGGGCUUAAAGAGUUCGUAGGUGGUUAAAAAAGUUGGUGGUGAAAUCCCAGAGCUUAACUCUGGAACUGCCAUCAAAACUUUUUAGCUAGAGUAUGAUAGAGGAAAGCAGAAUUUCUAGUGUAGAGGUGAAAUUCGUAGAUAUUAGAAAGAAUACCAAUUGCGAAGGCAGCUUUCUGGAUCAUUACUGACGCUGAGGAACGAAAGCAUGGGUAGCGAAGAGGAUUAGAUACCCUCGUAGUCCAUGCCGUAAACGAUGUGUGUUAGACGUUGGAAAUUUAUUUUCAGUGUCGCAGCGAAAGCAUUAAACACACCGCCUGGGGAGUACGACCGCA
rnacentral:rRNA from 1 species